CCUUUCCAGUUUCUGAGGCCUGUAUGAGUCAGAAGUGAUCAAUGAUUUUGUCUGGACUGAAUGUGUGAAUUCAAACAGAAACCACUGGAUGCAGGGAUGCUGCAAGGGGAAUCUGGGCCCCCAUCAACAAAUAUCACAUUGGGCCUCACUACUUCACUAGAGGAAAUAGGAAAGUGGUGGGAGAGGAGAUGUCCUCUCACAUGCAGAGCCAGAGAGUGACUGAGGGAGCUUCAUAAGUGGAGCAGCCAGGUGGGGUCAAUCAACCUGACGAGCCAACCUACACGCCAGUAAGAAACAUGGUGAGACACAAACAAGUCGCUGGUCUUUCCCUUCAAAGCAGCAGACAGAAAACAUCCACUUAGGAAGUUUGGCCCAUUUGCACUGGGUACAUCUGUUCAGCAUGUGAGACGGUCGUAUAUCAGCAGACCAUAAUCCUAAAAGCCCCCAGCGGGACUUUGGUGCCUCUGAAUGUUGCUAAGUGAUGACUUUUUAAAAAAAAUUCACUGGCUGAGCUGUUAACCACGUUUCAAAUUUAGAAAUCUGUGAUUGUAAAUUGUAUUAAACUGUCCUCGACUGG